GCCAUUGUCUGUUUGGCGGCGCAGCACCGCGCGGCGUGCGCGACGCACGUCGACGCCCGGCGUCGCGACGCCACUCUUGCACGCAACGCCGUCGCGGCCGUCGUCAUCCUCCUGCCUCUUUUCUCUCUGCCUUCAGCUAGCCGCCCGAAUUUCUGCGCCGAGAGUCGGAGUUUAGCUAAAAAGCCAGCAACCUGCACUCGGCCGAUUUUGCCUACACGUGAGUGGUCAUACACCGGCCGAACUUUCCGAGGGAAGAACACCGAAGAUACACCGCCAA